rnacentral:rRNA from 1 species
CGGGUAGAGUAAUACAUCGGAACGUGUCCCGUAGUGGGGGAUAGCCCGGCGAAAGCCGGAUUAAUACCGCAUAUGCUCUACGGAGGAAAGUGGGGGACUCGCAAGGGCCUCACGUUAUGGGAGCGGCCGAUGUCCGAUUAGCUUGUUGGCGGGGUAAUGGCCCACCAAGGCGACGAUCGGUAGCUGGUCUGAGAGGAUGAUCAGCCACACUGGGACUGAGACACGGCCCAG